AUCAGUGAUCUAAGUCUCACACAUAGGAACCUUGUUAGGUGGGGGGUUAGCUGUUUGAACCUGCUGCUGUCGAGGGACCUACAGUGUUGAGACAAAAGGGAAAGUCACGCAGACCAGGGUGGUCUGGAACUUGUGGCAAUCCUGUCUUCUGUUUCCUGAAGGCAGGAAUUAUAGGUGCGCAAUCCCACAGCUGGCACUAUUUACUACUUUAAGAAAGAAAUUUCUAUAAGGAUGAUAUCAGAUUAUGAAGAGAGGCUCCCACAGCAGGAACCAGCAGACAGAACCAGUAAACAGUUCCUGAAAUGGUUACAAUAAAUAACUGGAACAAGCAGGAGUACUAACGUGGAUGUGAGAAGAAGCCAAGUAGAAGUUCACAAAUGAAGAUUCUGUGCCUUUGUAUGUAAAGCUAUGGUAAAGUAGAUGUUAGAGGAAACAGGAGGAUGAACUAGAAGUUCCAGUAACAUAAGGAAGGCUGUGUGGAGAUUUAUGGUAGAAGAGAUGGCAUCGUGGCUCAGCAGAGAUGGAAAUUUUAUCAAACACCACUGUGCAAAUGGUUGUCAAUGGAAGACAGAAAAUGUGACUCUCACUUUACAUGAACACAAAAUCCAAGACAGAACGAAACCAAAAAAAGGGACAAACAAAACUUCAACCUUUUAGGGGAAAUGGUAGGAAGCUAUUGUGCCAGGAUGCUAAGGAAGUCUUUAUGGAAUCAGAGAGGAUCACCAGGAAAAGGGUCAUUGUGUUACCUCAGGCAGAGUAGUGGAGCCGGACAUGCACCUUAUAGCAGGUAAAAGCUAAUCUCCGUGGUACAGGCUCAGAUAUGUACUGAAAGUAUAGCACUUUCAUUUUUACGUAGUUUUAGGCUAGCUGUCCAAAUCUUUGGUUUCAUUUUGACAUUUUCAUUCAUGGGCAUCACAUUGUCUGCUUCCUCCCACAUGCCAUACUAUAUAUUGAACAUCGAGAAGAAAAAAAAAAAGAGUAAACUUAUUAUCUUAAAUUAAGCAACAGUUCUUUAAACAUAGCAUCAAAAGCACAAAUGUGAAUGAAAAACAAGAUAAAUUAGACUCUGAAAAUUGGUUCAUUAAAGUGCAGUAACAUAAAAAGACAAAGAUAACUUGAAACCAUAUCUAAUAAUGUACUAGUAUCCAUGAUGAACAGAGAUAAUUAAAUUAAAAGUAAGCAAAGGGUUUGAAUUAAUAUUUAGUCACAAAGACAUACUGAUGGCCACUAGGCUCAUGAAGAUAUGGUCGGCAUAGCUAGAUAAAUGAACAUCAAAGCCACCAUAACACAGUACAUCAUCUCAUAUCCACUAGAAUGGCUUUGAUUAGAAAAGAGGGUCAGUUGGAAUGCCGAAGAGUACAUGUCAAAAUUAGAAUCUUCAUUCACGGCUGGUGCGGAUGCCAAAUGGUUCAGCUGCUGCUCUGGUGUGCUUUCCUCCAACAUGACAUGACUGUUGCCUUCUUGAACACUCAGCAGCUGUGAAUGCCUAAUUGAGAUCCUCAAAAGACUGGGCUCAAUAACAUUCAGUAAUGGGGUAAGGGGCUCAUACAGCCCCACCUUUUCAUGAUGACAUAUAAGUAACUCACACAGGCUGGCUGCUGGGACAGGGACUUCUCUUGGGUUGUGUAGCUGUUUCUGAUUUGUCCAUGUUUCUGUAGGUACCUCCUCACACAUGCUUAUGUAAGUAAUCACAAUUAAAUUCAUUAAUUUACCAAGA
rnacentral:lncRNA from 1 species